ensembl:lncRNA
ACCACUUUAAGCCCCUGUAGAAAAGAGAAGGUUGAAGUCACCACCGGGCUCCACAUGCAUUUGCUCCACCCUGUAUCAUUUCAUAAUUCACCAUAUAAAUAAAUCUGUGUCCUAUUAUUUUCAGAACAUCUCAGUGGGAGGCGGAAGGAUAUCGUAGGUACCAGCAUCACAUUGACUGUUACGCUUUGUACACUGUGCUUUACAAAGAAGGCAGACAAUAUGAUUUGUUGAUAUGUACCGGCAUAACCGUCUCGUACUGGUUGAGCUCUGUUCAUCCUCUUUCUGCGUGUGCUGGAGGUUGUGAGUGACAAGGUCUUCUGAAAGCUGGUCAGUGAUCAGACUGAGAGCCCUGGCUGCUACAGACAACAGAGAGCAGUUUGUUAUGGACACUGCGGUGCAGCUAGAGACGGACCUCUCCCUGCAUGGAGAGCUGCAGGCUACUGGAAGAGAAGGAUCAGGCGGUCAUGGUGGGUGAUUUUGCCAUAUCUUGCUUCAAACACCUAAAGAAAAUGUAUCCUGGUUUGACAUGAUCAUUUACUUCCUCUGUGAGAACGUGGUACACGUUUCAUGUACUGAAGAACUCUAUCGCCCCCUUCCCGCUUGUGCAAGCCGGGCCGGACCCCUCCACCCGAGACGAGUGGUGGAGGAAGUGGAGGGGCUUCACCAGGUCAAACACCCACCCUGGACACCCCAACGGACGUCCGUCCCCCAGUCGGAUGUCAUGCAGGUGGAAUUCACAAUGAAUGUAGUCACAGAAAACGAUCAGAGGCCUGUUCACACAAGAGAAACAGACUAGUUGACAACUUCACAGAAUAAUAUGUUUGUUUAUUUCAGAAAAUGGCAACUAUUUUUCAUGAUUGGAUACCCUUUCUCUUGGACUUGUGACAAAUCAUCGAUUGGGGUGGUGAGUGUGUACGCCCUCUCCUCGUUAUCCGCUUCAUGACAAGCCGCCAUAGUGAACACAUAAGCCUGUUACUUUCCUGAUGGGUUUUCAGAGCACAGUGGUAACCCACUUAGUCAUGCCACCCACCCCUCCAAAACGUGGCACUUUUCCAGAACAAAAUGCUUAGCUGGUUUAAUGAAUUCUUCUCAACUCGAUACCCCAAACAGUCACAACGCCUCCUGUCACUGAGAAAGCGCCUAUGUGCGGUUUACAGAUUCGGCCUGAAAAAUGUGUGUUUUGUCGUGCUGUAGACUGGGUCUGUGACUCUUUGUGUGUAUUUUCUUUUAUCUGUACAAUUGGAUAUUAAAAUACAUGUAAGAACAAUCAAAUUGUGUUCAUUCCAACUAUGUGU